AAAUGAAUUAAAAACUAUUAAAAACAAAAUAAUUCACAAAAAAUAUUAAAUGGAAUCAUAAAAAUAAUUAAAAAUCAAAUUAUGAAACUAGAUUUUUCAAGAACAAUUUUAGUGUUGGUCUCAUAUUUUUGUGAUUCGAAAUAAAAUAGUUACGAAUUUUUGAAAUAAAAGGGAAUAAAAGAAAAUAAAACAGAAAUUAGAAAAUGCCAAAAAUCCAGGAGCGUUGGAUCCACUUCAGUAAUUG
rnacentral:lncRNA from 1 species